rnacentral:lncRNA from 1 species
UCAAAAAUUUGAAAUUUCAUUGAAAUGAAAAAAAAAUAAAAUAAAAUCGGUUACAUAUGUGUAUAUAUAUGUAAUGAGUGUACAGCCACAAGUGUCUUUUGUAUGCGUGCCUUGUGACCCCGUGCAUGUGCUAAUUAAGAAAUAAAAACAAAUAAAUAAAAAAUUAAUUAUUAUACAAGUGUGACGUGAUUUCAGGAGUGUGUUUAUUAUUAAUCUUUUUCUUCUCUCUUAAUUGAAAUAACAUACUUACCGAACUAUCUUAAUUAUUAAAAUAAAUGAAGUUCUUCGUUUAGCCGAACAAUAAUAAAAGUAUAUUGAUAAUAAUAAUUAAAACGUGGAUGUCGAUUGAUUUGUAAAAGUUGUUGGUAAUUAUUGAAGAAAAUCGUGCAAAUAUAAUGAAACUGAUGAAGAGAGAAGUGAAAAGAAGAAACGAAGAAAAUAACAAGGGAAACUAGACAAGUUAAAGCAAGAAGCUGCGAAAAUUAUUAUGAACUAUCUACGUGUAUUCAUAUGUAGUACCUAUGUAGAGAGACUGCGAAGAAAAGAAAAGGAAGAGGAGGAAAAUGAAAGUUGAGUGAUGUGCGAAAAG